rnacentral:lncRNA from 1 species
CAGAUGUGUAUGUCUGGAAAAUAUAGUGCCUUGCUACAUGACAUCCACGCAUUGUUAUUGUGAAGGAGGUGUGCUGCAAGGCUGCAGCUGGCAGCUGUGAGAAAACGCAUCACUUACAGCAGAGACCUUCAGACCUAGGCUAGCGUUGCCAGCAGCUGAAAUUCCUGGAGCUGUAAACACUGUUGAUAUUGUCUAAAGAUAAAAUAAAAUAAAAUAGUUCAGGAAGACCUGACAAAUGUGCUCUUUCCCCUGCAUCAGUGUGGUAGGGAUGGAUACUGUUUUAUACACAUGGCUGGUUGUUCACUAGUAAAGUACCAAUCCAAAAAGGCUGUUUAACAACAGUUAAUUCCACUUAACACGGGCUAGGAAAUCAUGCAGGGAAUUCACCACCAGCCUGGCCACUGGGGGAAAACAACUGGUGUUGCCACCUACAAGGAACUCAAACAGCUCAGCAUCCACCUGCUCCCAACAGGUGGGCACCCAGCAUAUAUUACAGAUUGCAUAGAGAACAGCUGAGGGAUGAUACCCUCCCUUAAAUCAAGCUUGUUUACAUUUACUUGAAUAGUGGCUUACUUAAAUUCUUUACAAAGGAGUAGUCAGAAUUUGAAGAGAAGAUUCUGCUUCAUGGGCUGAUUCUUGCUCCAGAAAGAAAAGACAUCCUGGGUUCAGAGGGAUCCUGAAAGAAAUGCUGUUAAUGAAUGGCCUUCCCAGCUGUGCAUGCUAUGUUACACCCAGCUCUCUCUUGAUUAUUCUUGCAAAAUAGCUGUGAUCCCAUUUUAUACAAGGUUACAAGAAAAGAGUGCAGAGUCAGCUCUCUGGACUGAAGAUUGCACUGGUCAUGCUGGUACCCAAGAAGGCUAUACCACCUCUUCUGCUUUUCCUCCACACGAACAAAUGAUGAAGACAACUUGGGAAGGAGGUGUACAGAUGGAAAGGAUUGCUCUGAAUCCCCAGCAAGCAUGUGUGCCAUGUUCAACUUGAAAUAAGAGAACCCUGCAAUUGGAAAAAGCAGAUAAACAGCAGUACUAAAUACUGAAAGGUAGAUAUCCCUUAAAGCUAACAGAAGGAGAAAAAAAAUCAGCAUUUUAAAGUAAA